rnacentral:rRNA from 1 species
AAACUAACAAGGAUUCCCCUAGUAACGGCGAGUGAAGCGGGAAGAGCUCAAAUUUGAAAUCUGGCAGCCUCAGGUUGUCCGAGUUGUAAUCUAUAGAGGCGUUUUCCGCGUCGGACUGUGUCCAAGUCCCUUGGAACAGGGUAUCAAAGAGGGUGACAAUCCCGUACUUGACACAACCACCGAUGCUAUGUGAUACGCUUUCUACGAGUCGAGUUGUUUGGGAAUGCAGCUCAAAAUGGGUGGUAAAUUCCAUCUAAAGCUAAAUAUUGGCGAGAGACCGAUAGCGAACAAGUACCGUGAGGGAAAGAUGAAAAGCACUUUGGAAAGAGAGUUAAACAGUACGUGAAAUUGUUGAAAGGGAAACGAUUGAAGUCAGUCGUGUUCUUCAGAUUCAGCUGGUUCUGCCAGUCUACUUCUGUUGAACGGGUCAACAUCAGUUUUGUCCGGUGGAAAAGGGCAGGAGGAAAGUAGCUCCCUCGGGAGUGUUAUAGCCUCUUGUCGC